rnacentral:rRNA from 1 species
UGGGGAAUCUUGCGCAAUGGCCGAAAGGCUGACGCAGCGACGCCGCGUGUGGGAUGACGCCUUUCGGGGUGUAAACCACUGUUGCCCGGGACGAAUUGCUCUUUUCGAGGAGCUUGACGGUACCGGGUGAGGAAGCACCGGCUAACUCCGUGCCAGCAGCCGCGGUAAUACGGAGGGUGCGAGCGUUGUCCGGAAUCACUGGGCGUAAAGGGCGCGUAGGCGGUUGGGGUAGUCCGUGGUGAAAGCUCGUGGCUCAACUACGAGUCGGCCAUGGAUACUCCUCGACUUGAGCACUGUAGAGGCAGGUGGAAUUCCGGGUGUAGCGGUGGAAUGCGUAGAGAUCCGGAAGAACACCGGUGGCGAAGGCGGCCUGCUGGGCAGUAGCUGACGCUGAGGCGCGACAGCGUGGGGAGCAAACA